UAAUUUAGAGGAAAAUUUUUUAAAAGGAAUAUUAACCAUUUUAUUUAACUUUUUUUACAUAUAUGAUGAUAAGAAGUAGGACUAAAUAACCUUCGAAUGCAUACCACGUUUUUUGGGUUUAUUGGGGAGGAUGUUGUUGAUCUUCGUAGUUUUCCCAAAGACCUCAAAAUCUCAAGCUACUACAUCAAAAAAGUAGAUUACAAUUAGUUGUUUUAAAAAAAUUAAACACAAAAAGUAAAAUAUUAUGAGUAAACAUUGAUUAAAAACGAUAUGAAAGCAUGUGGUGUGAAAAUUUGUAUUAGUG
rnacentral:lncRNA from 1 species